GGAAUGCGGUCGGCUCGGGGGCGCACGGGCCGCGCGCUCAGUGAGUAGGGGCCUCUCGCGCGGCGCCUGAGAGCCGGGUCCGCGCGCCGAGGCCGUGGGGGCGCGCGUGCCGGGCGCGCGCUGGCCGGCCGUGACUGCCGCAGAGGGAGCUGCGCGGCGCCUCUGGGAGCCAAGCGCCGGGUGCCUGGAGGGCAGGUCGGGUCUCUUGCUGCUAAGGUCAGCGGCUGCGGUUUGAGAAAACUGCAGCUGCUUCCUGUGUUAGGCUGUCGCAGACAAGCAGAAGUUAAAAACUAGUAAAUGACUUAAAGAUGA
rnacentral:lncRNA from 1 species